GCCUGAGUGACUGAGCGAGAAGCCAAUGGCAGAUCUGCUCUUGGGGCGUGACCAAUCCGUAUAGCCGAGGAGAGCCAGAGCCAAUCCGAGGAAGAAGCUAGCUUUAUGGGGCGGUGCCAAAGUGAUGCGAGGUCCAGACCCAACAGCCUUGUGCAUCAUCUGGGGUGAAAUUUAGUGCAUCAGCUCAAAGCCUGAGUAACUGGGCCUUGCCUUAUCUGUGCACUUUAGCCGGUAUGAGCAUCCACUGAGAACUGAACUGAGACCAUCAACCCAUUUCACAGGCCGGUAGGCCUUUGGCAAACUUUGCCCCUGAAAGGAGGAUUCCCUAUUUCCAGGGAGUUCUUACGAAACAAGUGACUUCUCUGAAUAUAAUCCAGAAAUAGACAAGGAGUUAAGGACAAAGAAGAAAGACAAGUUCUUGUCCCCAUGAAGCCCAGGAAGUUUAUGGAGGAGUCUAGGGCUCAGCUGCAGAUGUUAAAAUGUACCAGCUCUUGAUCUAAUCAUAACUGUAAUAACCUGAAUUCACAGGAGGCUUUGUUGUUUAUAUUGUGGAUAAAGUAUUGUCUUUGAUGCAGGGGGACACACAUAUGAAAACAUGACCAACAGCUAGUCCAGCAGAAAAAUAAACCAGCUCAUUGUAACUCACCUUCUUCAUUUUUCCAUGUCUCUCUGCUCUGAGCUGUAUCACAAUGUGCCUAAUUGAUACAAAGCAUUUCAAAUUAGAAAUAGAUCAAA